UACGGAGGUGGCUAGCGUUGUUCGGAAUUACUGGGCGUAAAGGGCGCGUAGGCGGCCUUGCAAGUCAGAUGUGAAAGCCCCGGGCUUAACUCGGGAACUGCAUCUGAAACUGCUUUGCUUGAGUCCUGGAGGGGGUAGUGGAAUUCCCAGUGUAGCGGUGAAAUGCGUAGAUAUUGGGAGGAACACCUGCGGCGAAGGCGGCUACCUGGACAGUGACUGACGCUGAGGCGCGAAAGCUAGGGGAGCGAACGGG
rnacentral:rRNA from 1 species